UACAUUUUAGUGUAUGGUGCACAUAAAUUUUUGAUAUUUAUAGGGAUAGUUUAAUUCUAUUAAAUGUAA
rnacentral:tRNA from 1 species